GACGAACGCUGGCGGCGUGCUUAACACAUGCAAGUCGAACGGAAAGGCCCCUUUGGGGGUCCUCGAGUGGCGAACGGGUGAGUAACACGUGAGUAACCUGCCCUUGACUUCGGGAUAACUUCAGGAAACUGGGGCUAAUACCGGAUAGGAAUCCUUGCUGCAUGGUGGGGGUUGGAAAGCUUCGGCGGUUUUGGAUGGACUCGCGGCUUAUCAGCUUGUUGGUGGGGUAGUGGCUUACCAAGGCUUUGACGGGUAGCCGGCCUGAGAGGGCGACCGGCCACAUUGGGACUGAGAUACGGCCCAGACUCCACGGGAGGCAGCAGUGGGGAAUAUUGCACAAUGGGCGGAAGCCUGAUGCAGCAACGCCGCGUGCGGGAUGACGGCCUUCGGGUUGUAAACCGCUUUCAGCAGGGGCGAAGCUUGUGGUGACGGUACCUGCAGAAGAAGCACCGGCUAACUACGUG
rnacentral:rRNA from 1 species